UACGAAGGGGGCGAGCGUUGUUCGGAAUUACUGGGCGUAAAGGGCGCGUAGGCGGCGACUCAAGUUAGAUGUGAAAGUCCUGGGCUUAACCUGGGGACUGCAUUUGAUACUGGGUUGCUUGAAUUCGGGAGAAGAUAGCGGAAUUCCCAGUGUAGAGGUGAAAUUCGUAGAUAUUGGGAAGAACACCGGUGGCGAAGGCGGCUAUCUGGACCGACAUUGACGCUGAGGCGCGAAAGCGUGGGGAGCAAACAGG
rnacentral:rRNA from 1 species